UUCCUGCCUUUGUAGCUCAUUUGGCAGAGAAUGAGACUCUUAAUCUCAGGGUCCUGGAUUCAAGUCCCAUGUUGGCUGGAAG